AUUGAACGCUGGCGGAAUGCUUUACACACGCAAGUCGAACGAUGAACCUUAGCUUGCUAAGGGGAUUAGUGGCGAACGGGUGAGUAAUGUAUCGGAACGUAUCCAAUAAUGGGGGAUAACUAGUCGAAAGAUUAGCUAAUACCGCAUACGUCCUACGGGAGAAAGCUAGGGAUCUUCGGGCCUGGCGUUAAUGGAGCGGCCGAUAUCUGAUUAGCUAGUUGGUGGGGUAAAGGCUCACCAAGGCGACGAUCAGUAGCUGGUCUGAGAGGACGACCAGCCACACUGGAACUGAGACACGGUCCAGACUCCUACGGGAGGCAGCAGUGGGGAAUUUUGGACAAUGGGCGAAAGCCUGAUCCAGCCAUUCCGCGUGAGUGAAGAAGGCCUUCGGGUUGUAAAGCUCUUUCGCAAGGGAAGAAAACUUAAGCUCUAACAUAGCUUGAGGUUGACGGUACCUUGAUAAGAAGCACCGGCUAACUACGUGCCAGCAGCCGCCGCAG
rnacentral:rRNA from 1 species